rnacentral:rRNA from 1 species
UCUACGGGUGGCUGCAGUGGGGAAUAUUGGGCAAUGGGCGCAAGCCUGACCCAGCAACGCCGCGUGAAGGAAGAAGGCUUUCGGGUUGUAAACUUCUUUUCUCAGGGACGAAGAAAGUGACGGUACCUGAGGAAUAAGCCACGGCUAACUACGUGCCAGCAGCCGCGGUAAUACGUAGGUGGCAAGCGUUAUCCGGAUUUAUUGGGUGUAAAGGGCGUGUAGGCGGGAGCGCAAGUCAGAUGUGAAAACUCAGGGCUCAACCCUGAGCCUGCAUUUGAAACUGUCCAGCUGGAGUGCAGGAGAGGUAAGCGGAAUUCCUAGUGUAGCGGUGAAAUGCGUAGAUAUUAGGAGGAACACCAGUGGCGAAGGCGGCUUACUGGACUGUAACUGACACUGAGGCACGAAAGCGUGGGGAGCAAACAGGAUUAGAUACCCCGGUAGUC